rnacentral:rRNA from 1 species
AUACGGAGGGGACAAGCGUUAUUCGGAAUCACUGGGCGUAAAGGACGCGUAGGCGGGUUAUUAAGUCGGGUGUGAAAUCCAAUGGCUCAACCAUUGAACUGCAUUCGAAACUGAUAACCUAGAGUAUGGAAGGGGCAGGUGGAAUUAGUGGUGUAGGGGUAAAAUCCGUAGAUAUCACUAGGAAUACCGAAAGCGAAGGCGACCUGCUGGGACAUUACUGACGCUGAGGCGUGAAAGCGUGGGGAGCAAACAGGAUUAGAAACCCCGGUAGUCC